CUCGUCCGAUCCUCUUCCUCUCCCGCAGUCUCCGAUCCGCCCGGCUUCACCAAAUCCACCCCUCCCCACGCAACAGCCACCGACCGUGUUCGCCGCCCCACCUCCCCGCCUGGCGUCCGUGUUGCUCGCCGCCCUGGAAGGGACGCGUCCACAAGAGGCAAGGCUGUGCCCCCGCCCGCCCCCGCGCAACCGCCGCCAUCCAUCUCCCUCUCUGCCCUGCGUCCGCGAUGCUCGCCACGUCUGCUGCUCCCCGGUCCCCGACGCUCGCUUCCCCGGCCAUCGUGGUGGAGCCCCCUCCCACCCUGUGUCGAUGGCAAAGUUGUACGUGCAGGUGGUGCCGCCCCCCGGAUCUAAACAGGAACACUGAGUAGUUCAUGUACCCCGAGGUCUGGACCGCCUACAUCAUCUUCUUUUGCUGGACCCUCGCUCUCUCCGUCUUUGGGUGCGCCCCCAACAUUGGCAUGGACGCUCGUCAACCUUGGCCAAUUUGCAAGGCUGGAAUGGGGUUUCAGCUGUUCCUAUUAAUGUUAGCAUGAGGAGCAUCUUACUGAAGCGGCUCCAUGUUUGGUCGUCUACACCAGGCAGCAGAGCAGAUUCGCCCCUGCUGAAAACGCACUCGAUGGCGUCCGCGACGGGGGUUUCCUCCUCGGAGAUGGCGGUGGACCACGCGACGGGGCCGGGCGCCGUGGAGAAGCCGCGGUUCGAUGCUCUGACGCCGAAUGAGAUGAGCGGCGGGAGGCCCCAAUUCCGGAAAGUGCCCAUGCCGCAGCACCGGUUCGCGCCGCUCAAGCGAUGCUGGAUGGAAAUCUACAAACCCGUAUACGAGCACAUGAAGAUCGAUAUACGCAUGAACCUCAAGGUACUGGACUGGAGUCUACCCAUAUUGGGCUUUCUUGUUUUAUGUGAAUGAGCUUUUCGUGCUCUAUUCCUUGCAAGAACCAUAGAUUGUAUACUUCAGAUCGCCGUCAAGAAGCUCAACCCGGAGAGCGUCCAGGGCCUGCAGAGUGGCAGGAUAACAUGGAGAACUUCAACCCUUUCGGUGAGAAUGGAGAGUAGGGUACAGGGUAAGUACAACUUCAUUUAAGUAUUUUCUGUUCUCUCCCCUCGACUUCUCGCUUUGUCGUCGUCUCUACGAGUGCUUUCGCGAGGGGAGGCGGCGAUAUAUAUCACUGAGUACGAGGGGAGGGGUGGGACAUCAUGGUGUGUGGGUUUGGCCGUGAAUGUUCUAGGAGUUGAUGAAGAUGUUAGUUCUCACCACUGAAUUGUUUGGCCAAGGUUGUUUAUUCUUUUGUCUCACGUGUUUGGCCCGUGCUCGCAGGUCACCAUAGAAUGUUCUGGGCUCUUCAGUACUCCUGUACUAACAACGGUAAUCCAAUUGCAUCGGUUAUUAAAUUAGUUGGUAAGCGAUUAGGUUAUAAUAAAUAACUAGCCAACAUGUUCACAAUAUCAUCAUUUGACAUAGAUGGUUCUAAUUAUAGAAGCACGAGUCAUAUAAGUCCGGAUUAUAUACAAAAUACAAGAAAUAUUGCCCUAAUACAUUUUGGACUAUAUUUUAAUCGAUUGACAUGAGUUAAAUCAGUGGUGGUGGUAGAAAUAAUAGUGUCUGGACCUUGAAUUUCUGAACCGGUUCGUUCUGAAAAAGAUAUAGUUGUCCCCUCAUGAAAAGAUAUGGUUUUCCUGUUUUUAUAUGCACAAGUUGUUUGUAUUUGGAUAACCUUUGAUCCUAGCUGAUACGCGUCCUAAUCUGGUGGGUGUUUCAGUUGUUUGAAAUGAUAAAGAAAGUUAAAGUACAUUCAACGUGAUCCUUCCAUGCGAUGUUAACUUAGAUGACAUAAUUUCAGGUACGCAUUGGUGCCAGCUUCACUAUACCUUGGUUUUAUUACAUUGAUCAUUUGGGUUGGGCAGGGUACAUACCUAACAGCUGCCCUGCCCUUAGUGACGCAAGAGAAAAUGAUUGCUUGAGGGUCCAACUUUAGGGAGCUUCAAUGUGAGUUUUGUGGAAUGUUCGCUAGCACACAGGGUUCUGAGAUAGUAUGUUAUUUGCUUCAAAGUUUUGCUGCUGAUUAGACAUAUGGAGCUUCUUCUUUGGACGGGAUAGAGUGUAUUUUGUAGUCACCCUAUGCUUACAAUUGUCUUCGGUCCAUCACAUUGAAUUGUCGUUCAAGAUUCUGCCAGGAUAAACAGUGGCCCUGCAUUUUUUAACUAUAAUAAUAAUGUUGGUAGGGAUACCAAUGGUGCUCCUCUGUUAAUGGUGCUUAUUGCCAUAUUGUCAUAUUGGAGGAAGGGCUUAUUGUCAUAUUGAAGGAAGGGCUUGAAGCUCAAUGGAAGUGAUAAUAGAUUCUGCAAAUGCUCCUCAAUAGGUUCCAGUUAGUCAUCUGGUAUUCAUAGUUCAUGGCAUUAGACAGAGGCUGGAGAAAGCUAAUCUUGUUGAUGUUGUCAAUUUUCCAUCGUGUAACCGUGUUCAAGGGCAUAUUAUCAGGCGGGGUCGAGAUCGGCAUUGUCUCCACUGUCAUAUCGUCGAGCAAAGACUGGUCCAGGAGCGCAGAAACAUGCUUCAAGAAAAAGGUUUAUGGCUAGCAACAUCUUGUUCGAUUACUUCCUGUGAUGUUUUAAUCCAUAAAAUACAGAUAGGGGUUACACUGUUCAGUUUGGUUACUUCGAUUUUGGGACUGCUUGCGAUCUUCUGUAGUGUUUAUUCUUGUUCGAUUACUUCGAUUCUAGGACUGUGAUUUUAGUUCGAUUACUUCGAUUCUGGGAUUACCAAAAUACAGAUAGGGGUUACACUGUUUACUUCGAUUCUAGGACUGCCAAAUGUCUCUACUGUUUGAAGGCGGUGUUUAUUCUUGUUUAUUAUUUACUAGAUGUCUCUGUAUGCUUGAUUAUGCAAGUAGAUUAUUCAGGUAGUACAUACAUUUUUAGUUGUAUUUAUUCUUGUUUCUAUUCGGUGCUUCAUUCAAGUCUGCAACUUUCCAAUGUCUCUGUGUGCUUGAUAGCAUAUUAUCCUAUAUUCUUGCGCAAGAAUCUUUUUGGACGCACAAGUAGUUCUAUAGAGUUUACUACAUCCUUUGAUGUUUUAAUCCAUGAAAUACAAACUUGUAUCUAUCUGUUUUGGACUGCGUUCCAGAGAAAGAAAUGUAGUUUAGUUAUGUGGUUUUACAGACCUAUAUCUAUUUGUGUAAUGCAUUUGCCUGUAUAUGUGCAGCUUAUGUCCAUAAUUCUUCAAGUCUGCAUAUGACUGCAUCAUUCUUCAGCCUUCUAGACUCCUUCCACUUCUGCCCCCUCGGAUACAAGGACUUCCCAGACUUAGGUAACACAACCUCUUCUCUUCUUUCAACAUGUUGUCAUGUGGUGCUCGAGUUAUGGUACAACUGGAGUUGGGUGAAAGCGACAUGGAGCCUUGAAGUGGAGAGUUGAGCUCAUGAAGCAGGACAAGAGAGCCAAGGUGUUGUGCCUUCAUGGCUUCUGCACGAGUGAGAGUUUUUUGAAGAGUAGAUCAACAACUGGCACUCUUCCACUCGUUAUGGAUAUGGGUAUGAGAAUCCAAUCUUAUGAUGACCAGUUACUUCAUUUAGCUGCUGACUUAGCUCAGAGGUUGUUGCCCACAUUUGACACUCCUACAGGAGGUCUCUGACAAUAACUGUGUCUAUCGGAACGAGGUGCACCACACUGCUGGGGAACGAACCCAGGUCUUGCAGGAUGUAGCUUCUGAUCCAACUCUUCCCAGAACCAAGACUGUCCGCUGCAAUCUCUGUGGGCAUGGAGAGGUUGUUUUCUUCCAGGCCGCGGCAAGAGGGGAGGAGGGGAUGACCCUGUUCUUUGUGUGCUGCAGCCCUGAUUGUGGUUAUCGGUGGAGGGAAUGAUGCGAUGAAAUCUUCGCUCUAAUAGUUGUUUCAUCAGAGCAUGAAACUUAACUUGUUUUGUAGUUUUCUUGGAACUAUGUAUUUCGAAUCUGUCCUAAGAUUAAUGAGAGAAUGUCUUUCCAAUA